UGCUGCCAGUAUGCCCCUCUGAAGAAUAAUAAAACAAUUAGCAAAAAUCAUAUUUAUAAAUAAAUAUACCUAAAUAUGGGUAUGUCUGAAAUAGAACCAAUCUCUUAUCAGCAUGCUUUAUGCAGCCUGGGAUAGUGGCAGGUGGCCAGCAUAUUAUCCUCUAAUCCAUGCUAGUCUACCUCCUAAAUGUUAUAAAUAUUCAUGUAUGCCAUAGAACUAGGAAGGACUUUAUUCAAACAUUUUUUUGAAUAUUCCUUUAUGUUCCCCCCAAAUAAAAGAAUGUGUGAAUUCUCUUUUGUUCAUACCCAUAAAUCCUGAAAACCAAUAAGCAACAAAUUCUCUAAUCCUUAUUUCAUACCUCAAGGGUGAAG
rnacentral:lncRNA from 1 species